rnacentral:rRNA from 1 species
UACGGAGGGAGCUAGCGUUGUUCGGAAUUACUGGGCGUAAAGCGCGCGUAGGCGGCUUUGUAAGUUAGAGGUGAAAGCCCGGGGCUCAACUCCGGAACUGCCUUUAAGACUGCAUCGCUAGAAUCCAGGAGAGGUGAGUGGAAUUCCGAGUGUAGAGGUGAAAUUCGUAGAUAUUCGGAAGAACACCAGUAGCGAAGGCGGCUCGCUGGGCCACACCUGACGCUGAGACGCGAAAGCGUGGGGAGCAAACAGG